GACGAACGCUGGCGGCGUGCUUAACACAUGCGAGUCGAACGGAAAGGCCUCUUUCGGGGGGUACUCGAGUGGCGAACGGGUGAGUAACACGUGAGUAACCUGCCCUUGACUUUGGGAUAACUUCAGGAAACUGGGGCUAAUACCGGAUAGGAGCUCCUGCUGCAUGGUGGGGGUUGGAAAGUUUCGGCGGUUGGGGAUGGACUCGCGGCUUAUCAGCUUGUUGGUGGGGUAGUGGCUUACCAAGGCUUUGACGGGUAGCCGGCCUGAGAGGGUGACCGGCCACAUUGGGACUGAGAUACGGCCCAGACGCCUACGGGAGGCAGCAGUGGGGAAUAUUGCACAAUGGGUGGAAGCCUGAUGCAGCAACGCCGGGGGCGGGAUGACGGCCUUCGGGUUGUAAACCGCUUUCGCUCAUGACGAAGCUUUGUGUGACGGUAGUGGGUAAAGAAGCACCGGCUAACUACGUG
rnacentral:rRNA from 1 species